rnacentral:rRNA from 1 species
UAGUUGAUCCUGCCGGACUGACCGUAUCGUAUUGGUCUAAGCCAUGCGAGUCGUUGUAGCAAUACAAGGCGAACUGCUCAGUAACACGUAGUUAACCUAACCUAUGGAUGGGGAUAACCUCGGGAAACUGAGAAUAAUACCCAAUAGAUCACAGUGCCUGGAAUGGCCUGUGAUUGAAAUGAUUUAUCGCUGUAGGAUAGGACUGCGGCCUAUCAGCUUGUUGGUGAGGUAAUGGGCCACCAAUGGCUAUAACAGGUACGGGCUCUGAGAUGAGGGGCCCGGAGAUGGGUACUGAGACAAGGAC